rnacentral:rRNA from 1 species
UAAGGAGGAUGCAAGCGUUAUCCAGAUUUAUUGGGUUUAAAGGGUGCGCAGGCGGACCGUUAAGUCAGCGGUGAAAUCUCCCGGCUCAACCGGGGAACUGCCGUUGAUACUGGCGGACUUGAGCACGGACGGCGCCGGCGGAAUGUGUCAUGUAGCGGUGAAAUGCUUAGGUAUGCCACAGAACACCGAUCGCGAAGGCAGCUGGCGAGGCCGUAGCUGACGCUCAGGCACGAAAGCGUGGGGAUCAAAC